CAGCCGCCGCGGUAAUACAGAGGGUGCGAGCGUUAAUCGGAUUUACUGGGCGUAAAGCGUGCGUAGGCGGCUAAUUGAGUCGGAUGUGAAAUCCCCGAGCUUAACUUGGGAAUUGCAUUCGAUACUGGUUAGCUAGAGUGUGGGAGAGGAUGGUAGAAUUCCAGGUGUAGCGGUGAAAUGCGUAGAGAUCUGGAGGAAUACCGAUGGCGAAGGCAGCCAUCUGGCCUAACACUGACGCUGAGGUACGAAAGCAUGGGGAGCAAACAGGAUUAGAUACCCGUGUAGUCCCUGUCUCUUAUAU
rnacentral:rRNA from 1 species